GUGAUUGGAUGGAUUGCAAAAUAGGAUCAGCCAUGGAGAGCCUUCCCCUUCUGAAGCAUAUAUGAAGGUUAUCUAAACGUACGUUUUCUUAUGCCUCAUAUAUUUAUCAUGAAGCAGAUAGGGUCAUAGAAUGGGUAGCUUCCUAUAGGGCAAAUCACUUUGGUGAUAUGCUAUGACUGGAUCGAGCUUCUACACUAUUUCGAGAUAUUUUAUUAUCUAAUUUAUUUGGAUGUAUUCAUA
rnacentral:lncRNA from 1 species